rnacentral:rRNA from 1 species
UACAGAGGGUGCAAGCGUUGUUCGGAAUUAUUGGGCGUAAAGGGCGCGUAGGCGGUGCGGUAAGUCUGUAGUGAAAUCUCUGGGCUCAACUCAGAGUCUGCUGCAGAAACUGCCGUGCUUGAGUGUGGGAGAGGUGAGUGGAAUUCCCGGUGUAGCGGUGAAAUGCGUAGAUAUCGUAAGGAAGGCCGGUGGCGAAAGCGAACCUCUGGGCAGCAGCUGACGCUGGUGGCACGAAGGCUAGGGGAGCAAACGGG